rnacentral:tRNA from 2 species
AGGGGUGUAGUUCAAUUGGUAGAACAGCCGGCUUCAACCCGGCAUGUUGUGGGUUCAAGUCCUGUCACCCCUGCCA